rnacentral:misc_RNA from 1 species
GAUGAAGAACGUAGCGAAAUGCGAUACUUGGUGUGAAUUGCAGAAUCCCAUGAACCAUCGAGUCUUUGAACGCAAGUUGCGCCCGAAGCCAUUAGGCCGAGGGCACGCCUGCCUGGGCGUCACACGUCGUUGCCCCCCCAUCUACUCCUUCGGGAUUGCGGGGGGCGGAUGAUGGCCUCCCGUGCGCCUCGUCGCGCGGUUGGCAUAAAUGCCAAGUCCUCGGCGACGCACGCCACGACAAUCGGUGGUUGCGAAACCUCGGUUGCCCGUCGUGUGCGGUCGUCGCGCAUCGAGGGCUCGAAAAAAUUGCCGGGCUCCGGCUCGACUUUCAACGCGACCCCAGGUCAGGCGGGGUUACCCGCUGAAUUUAAGCAUAUCAAUAAGCGGAGGA